rnacentral:tRNA from 1 species
UGUGCACGUGGCCCGUUGGGUCAACGGUUUUCGGUACCGGUAGUAGACGAUAUCCGGCGAGCCUGGAGUCUUUCCUGGUUGCGCUG